UCCAGGCGACCUGUCAGUCAGAAGUUCUACAGGGUCUUUCCGGCCUCUUGCUUCAGAAUUGGCUAUGAUGAAAGUCUGUCCCUGUCUUUUUGUGUGCUAUGCUGAGAGUGUUGCUGCUGUUGUUGCUGCGAGCUGAGCAAAGAGCAUGGCGGAGCUGGAAAACUACAAUAAGGGAGCUGUAAGGAAGUCCAAGCCAUGCCAUGGUGAAUGUAGCAUGUUCAGAGCAGGUCUGCUGAGCUGUCAUUUCUGCUAAGACUUGGAUGAACCAUGAUCCAGACUGUGGUUUUGUUAGUCCAUGUGGUGACCUGUGCAGUAGUCCUUGUCCUGUGAGCCUUCCUGUGUAUGGAUUUCCUGGGUAUGUGGAGACUCUGCCGCCCUGGCAUGGAAGGAUAUGGUGCUUGUAAUAGCAUUGUCCAGUGUGCACACACGGCCAAACUUUUGGUGUGUAGCAAGAAGACAGAUUGGAAAACUAAAAGUCUGGUUUCUAGAAGUUCUGAACACUGCACUCCACUUUCAGGUUUGUCUUAUAAAUAUUACAAAUAGUUUAGAAACUGGCAUAAAUAUGGUGUUAUGGAUUAUCUUUCAGCAAUGUAUCAUUAGAAUGCUUCUAACUUUACUACAACCAGCUAUAGUGGUAUGAUUUGGUGAAGUUUAGUUCCAGGGGACAAAAUCAGUUUCUGAUCUGCAGAAAUUUCUCAGGUGUGCAUGGUGUAGUGUGGCUGGAUAGGGCAGAAUGCACAUCUUAUGCCAUAAUUCAUGGGACCAGGAAGCAUUCAUAGCAAAUAAGAGGUCUUUGUGUCAUGAUUUCGGAGCAGGUUGGUGGCCUAAAUGAAAGCCUGCUCCAUGCCCCCACUCACUCUGUCUCAAAGGGGUAUUCUCUUUUGAUAUUACUAUUGCAUAUACAUUUAUAUGUCUAUGAACAUCAAUAAAUAUGAGCUGCUGAGUCCAUUUGGUAUUUUUUCUAUUUAUAUGAUUUCAGUGCAGUCCACUUUGUUUUGGAUAACCAGCUAGGAGGCUCAUCCCUGGGAAAAACAAUUCUGCCUCUCAGUAGUCCUUAAGUUCCCAUAGUUCUUGGUCUCUGGAGAGGGUUCAUUAGAUUCGUUUAAACCUUCUAUGUUACUAUGUCUACUGGCCAUGUUUUCUCUUCCACAUGAGAUCUUCUUGCAGGGCUGAGGGUCUCUCUACUUUGUCAGCUAUGCCUUUGGGUUCCCAGCUCCUGUAUGAAUGCAGCUAUGGAGUAGGUCUCCUCUUCCAGAACCCUGUGUUUGUAGUGGAUGGGCUGCCCUGCUGUCUCCUCUGGCCUUGAUCUUAGAGAAGCUGUCCACUUUAGUCGCCAGGCCCUCCCCAUUCUGCUACUUACCAAAAAACUGAUGUCACCACAGGAUUCCCAUAUCCUCUGAGUCAGGCAAAAAAUAGUGUCUGGAAGGGUAUUUCCAGGGAGGAGGAAUGUCUGUGAGCAAGUUCUGUGGGUGUGUCUGUGAGGGACUUGCCUGGGGGAUGCAUCUGGAGAUUGCAGUGCUUGUGAGGAGAGAACUGGAGGAAUUUCUGUUGAGAUUGCCUCAGGGAUAAGUUAUGUUUAGUAGGUGAUUUGUGGGCUUGGCCCAGGAAAGUUGGAAUGCAGGGCUGCAGAAGCUCACAGGCCUUGUGCACCAACACUGCUCUUCUCUUGCCUAUCUCAAAUAUCUGUGGAGCUGAAGGAGGUGUUCAUGGAGUGCCACCUGGCCUGAUUAUUUGCAGCCCUGGAACUACUCCCUGGAAACCCCUGGACCUACAUCCAGCUGGACAAGGAGUCAACCAAGGCUGAUGAUGAAACUCAGAGAUGUGAAGGUCACAGUGUUGCUGCUGUAGUUGCUAGAAGUAGCUGGGUGGUGGGAAUAAUGUAUGAAGAGCUUGUCAUGGUCAUAUAGGUGAGAACCUGAUGCAGGAAAAGUGAGACAGAAAUCCACCCACCUUUUUUAAGGAUUUUCCUGCCACCAGGUUGUCUUCUGAUUCUUUAGUCUGUAAUCUAAUCUCCAGAUCUUUUUUGAUUCCAUAUGCCUUUCACUCGGGUUCGAAGUGUUGGGAUUAAAGUCAUUAGCCAAUAGCUUGUCUAUCUUUUUUCUUCUUUGUAGUUAGUUCAUACAAUUUCUCUCAUGUGUACUUUGUACUGUUGUUUUGUUUUCUUGUCUAUGUAUGUUUGUUAAUUAGCAUUUUUCUUGCAAGGUGAUACCCCUUUCAAAGGGUACAGAAUUGACAGAGAUGAACACCCUCUUCAGUUUUCUUCUAAAGUGACUUGGUGAUUACAUUAUAAAAAAUAUGUAAUGGAGUAAGAUAGGGACCACCAGAAUUUAAUGAAUAUACUGUCAAAGAAUUAUACAUUUACAAUGUUGUCAGUGUCAUGCUUUCUGUUGUUCACAUGUAUGGAUUGUUUUAGAAUGCGGUGACCUAUGAUGAUGUGCAUAUCAACUUCACUUGGGAAGAGUGGACUUUUCAGGAUCCUUCCCAGAAAAAUCUCUACAACGAGGUGAUAAUUGAGACCUACAGGAACAUCACUAUUAUAGGAUACAGAUGGGAAAAUUAUAAUACUGAAGAACAUUUUCAAAAUUCUAGAAGACAUGUAAGGUCAGAAGAGGCUCCUUAAUGCUGAGAGCAGAGUAACACCAUAAAUUCCAGGACAUGUAACAGGCCCUUUUGAGGCACAUCAAAGGCUAUCCAAGGAGAAUAAGAUCUGAAAUAACCACAGAAACAUCUCCAAGAUUUGAAAUCAUGCACUACUCAAGGGGGGAUUCAGAGGACCAAGCAGAUGCUAUAACAGGCUGAUCAAUCUUCUCUCAGAGACAAGGUCUCUCAACAUAGUCCUUAUAGGCCUGGAACUCAGAGAUCCACCUGCUUCUUUCUGCCUGAAGGCUGGGAUUAAGGUCUUGGGCUACCAUAUCUAACCCUGCUUGUUGAUCAUGUGUGUUCACAGGCCUGUGGAGAUGUAACCCAGGCUUUUCGUAUUCCAGGUGAGAGUGUAGAACCUUCCCAUGGUUUGACUUUGUGGAAUCAUGAGUCAGUGUCAAGGGUGUGCUGAUGUUGAGGGUCAUCUAGGCCCUGAACACCAUGUCCUGCCUUACCAUGUGCCUAUUCUCCAGUUUCCUAAAGGGCUUCAUGCAUGAUAUUUACAAUUGGUACUUGGUUACAAAACAUGGCAUUUUCACUCUGAAAUUAUUAAUGAUAUGCUUUGGAAACAUUUAUUUUUAUGUAUUUAAUUUUUGGUUUGGUUUAGUUUUUUUUUUGAAGAGAGAGUAGCUGUAUGUAUCCCUGACUGUCCUGGAACUUGGACUUUAGACCAGGCCGCAAACUCAGAGAUCUGUCUCCCUCUGCCUCCUGAGCUGGAAUUAAAGGCAUGUGCCACCAUCACCUGGCUGAAACAUUUUAAUUAACAUUGAUUGUGCAAAUACUGAGUUUUAUGGUGACAUUUUAACACAUGACAUUUUUAUUUUAUUAGAGACAGGUUUCAAGUCAACAUGUCCAUAGAGCUGUCAGAGGACAACUUCUGGAAAUUGGUUCUCACCCUCCACCACAUUGUCCCUGCAGAUCCAAGAUUGGGGGCCAAGCACCUUUACCCACACACUGAGCCAUCUCACUAGCUCAAAUUUUUGUUUUUACCUUUUCAUGAUAAAGUUGAAUAUAGGACUCACACAUGCUAGGAAAACUCUCGUUCAGCCAACCCUCCAUUUUUUUGAUAAUGCCUCAUGGUGACAGUUUCCUUUCUUUCUUUGCUUCUCCAACAGAAGCAGUCUGUCACAAGAUCCAUUCAACUCCCUGUAGAUCUGACAGCUCAGACAUCCUGCUCCUCCUCUAUGGAAGGCAAUGCACCCCUACUCACCAUAGCAUGGCUUAUGGUUUACCUCACAGUUCCCUAUAACUGAAUUAGAAGAGAACCCUUGAAAAAACUCAUAAUCUACCUCCCACUGGUUCUCUUGAUUGCUAGGCUUGCCCAAAGUUGCUCAAUAGCUUGUCUCCAACAGGGCCUCAGGACAGUAGCAGCUCCUCUACUAGAUAAGGGAAGAUCAAAUGACUAAGGCAGCACAGGGCUUCACAGCUCUGGAUUCUACCCUAGGAGCAGAUAGGACUCUAGUCUGGGAAAUGUCUAUUUUGGUAGAAACUAUUCCAGUCUCUCAGAGCACUUUCUGUUCCCCUUCCAAGAGGUGUGUGUUGUAUUACACAGUCACUGGCCAGUGCAGGCUACCAUUUCCUUCAUAGCUCAGAAAUUCUGUAGCCAAACUUAAGUCACAUAAAACAGUAACUGCUGUUAAAGGAGUCCAUGAAUUAAAAAACAAUGAAGUGUCUAUGGAAAGGCUUAGAAGUAGAAAAGCAACAAUGCAAAUGAUGUAAUAUAAUCCCCAAAAAUUAUUUUCAAAAAUUGAAACAAGCUACAUGGCGAUGUGUUUCAGAGACUAGGGAUUUGUGUUAGAGCACAACAUGUAUUAGUCACACAUUUUCUCUCAGGUUGUUCAUCUUAAACCUGUAAAAUAAUUGUUCUUUAGGUAGGGUACACCAUAUUAUACAGUUCUAUUUUGGUGAAAGUGGUGUAACUACAGUAGUUUGGUUUUGUGAUAAGUUCAGUUCUUUAUCCAGAUUCUUGAUUUUCUGUUCUGUGAAUGCAAAUGGCCAGUCAGAACAAUUAAUAAUAAUCUAAAAUACAUAAAAUUGAUCACCUCACUACUUAACUUCUAAUGUGAGGUACAGUCAAAGGAAGAGAGCUUUUAUGCUUCUUCUUACCCAUCCCAUUCGGUAAGUAGAGUACACCUGCUUUAAAUUUGGUCAGUGAACUCAAUUCUUACACAGGUCCCUCUUCAUAUGGAAGUUUGCAAUACAAUCAAGAGAAGUUGGAGGACACUCAUUUACUGGUCUAUUUUUACUUCACAAUGACCAGUUUAGGUCCAGUCUUGAAGCAGUUUGCAGAACUUUCUUUCCCACACUGGGCAGCAGAAGCAGAAUUAGAUGUUCAAAGCAAUUCUCAACUACAUAGUAUGAGGCAAGCCUAAGUAACAAGAGACAUUGCUCUAAACAGAAAUAAUCAACUCACUUGAGAAAAAUGGAAAGAAAUUAUUAAUGACCUGAAAAAAUGGAGAAUAGAAGAAAAUAAGAGAUUAGAGCAGAGAUGCAUUUAAACAAAAUCAAAUUUUAACAGUGAAACAAAUAAUUGUCUUUUUAAAAAAAUAAACAGAAUUGAAAAAACACAUGGCUCUACUGACUUUCAAAAAGAGUACACAAUUCUCUGGUAGAGGGAGUAGUAUUAAUAAGAUAUCAUAUCACCAUGCCCCUAUGUGCAAAGUUAGCUGCUGAGACCUGUGACAUGUCACACACAGCUAUAGCUAAUGAAAAAAAUCAUGGCAAGCAGGAUUGAAAAUAUCUGCACAUGCAAAGGAGAGUUCUUUGUUCAAAAUUCAAUAUUCAUGGACUCAAGCUAAACUUCCCAAAUUGCACACCCAAAAUCUAGCCUGCCUUCAUUCACAUGAUUUGGUUCAAUACAUGCUGGGGAAUUAAAAAAUCACUGAUCCUGCCACAAUCAGGUCCUAUUUCAGAAUGGUGACUUCUGCAGCUGUUUGCCUACCAUGUUAAACCCAGCAGUGUACACAAUAAAUUUGCCCUUCUAUUCUAGUAUUCGGGCACACAAAAAUCUCUUUCCUGUUACUCAAAUUGACAGUUGACUGCUGUGGGGUGGUCUGUAUGUCAAAUUGCUCUGAUUGGUCAAUAAAUAAAACACUGAUUGGCCAGUGGCUAGGCAGGAAGUAUAGGCAGGACUAACAGAGAGGAGAAAAGAAAGAACAGGAAGGCAGAGUCACUGCCAGCCGCUGCCAGGACAAGAAGCAUGUGAAGAUGCUGGUAAGCUACGAGCCAUGUGGCAUGGUAUAGAUUUAUGGAAAUGGAUUAAUUUAAGCAAUAAGAA